rnacentral:pre_miRNA from 1 species
AAUGGAAUUGCUGGGUACUAUGGUAAUUGUAUGUGUAACUUUUAGAGGAACUACGAAACUGUUUUCUACAGCAGCUGCACCAUUUUACAUUCUACCAGCAGU